ACGAACGCUGGCGGCGUGCUUAACACCUGCAAGUCGAACGGAAAGGCCCUGCUUUUGUGGGGUGCUCGAGUGGCGAACGGGUGAGUAACACGUGAGUAACCUGCCCUUGACUUUGGGAUAACUUCAGGAAACUGGGGCUAAUACCGGAUAGGAGCUCCUGCCGCAUGGUGGGGGUUGGAAAGUUUCGGCGGUUGGGGAUGGACUCGCGGCUUAUCAGCUUGUUGGUGGGGUAGUGGCUUACCAAGGCUUUGACGGGUAGCCGGCCUGAGAGGGUGACCGGCCACAAUGGGACUGAGAUACGGCACAGACUCCUACGGGAGGCAGCAGUGGGGAAUAUUGCAGAAUGGGCGGAAGCCUGAGGCAGCAACGCCGCGUGCGGGAUGACGGCCUUCGGGUUGUAAACCGCUUUCGCCUGUGACGAAGCGUGAGUGACGGUAAUGGGUAAAGAAGCACCGGCUAACUACGUG
rnacentral:rRNA from 1 species